rnacentral:rRNA from 1 species
GAUGAACGCUGGCGGCGUGCCUAAUACAUGCAAGUCGAGCGAACAGACGAGGAGCUUGCUCCUCUGACGUUAGCGGCGGACGGGUGAGUAACACGUGGAUAACCUACCUAUAAGACUGGGAUAACUUCGGGAAACCGGAGCUAAUACCGGAUAAUAUAUUGAACCGCAUGGUUCAAUAGUGAAAGACGGUUUUGCUGUCACUUAUAGAUGGAUCCGCGCCGCAUUAGCUAGUUGGUAAGGUAACGGCUUACCAAGGCAACGAUGCGUAGCCGACCUGAGAGGGUGAUAGGCCACACUGGAGCUGAGACACGGUCCAGGCUCCUACGAGAGGCAGCAGUCGGGAAUCUUCCGCAAUGGGCGAAAGCCUGACGGAGCAACGGCGCGUGAGGGAUGAAGGUCUUCGGAUCGUAAAACUCUGUUAUUAGGGAAGAACAAAUGUGUAAGUAACUAUGCACGUCUUGACGGUACCUAAUCAGAAAGCCACGGCUAACUACGUG